CCGGCGAUUUCCGAAUGGGGAAACCCAGUGUGUUUCGACACACUAUCAUUAACUGAAUCCAUAGGUUAAUGAGGCGAACCGGGGGAACUGAAACAUCUAAGUACCCCGAGGAAAAGAAAUCAACCGAGAUUCCCCCAGUAGCGGCGAGCGAACGGGGAGGAGCCCAGAGCCUGAAUCAGUGUGUGUGUUAGUGGAAGCGUCUGGAAAGGCGUGCGAUACAGGGUGACAGCCCCGUACACAAAAAUGCACAUAUUGUGAGCUCGAUGAGUAGGGCGGGACACGUGGUAUCCUGUCUGAAUAUGGGGGGACCAUCCUCCAAGGCUAAAUACUCCUGACUGACCGAUAGUGAACCAGUACCGUGAGGGAAAGGCGAAAAGAACCCCGGCGAGGGGAGUGAAAAAGAACCUGAAACCGUGUACGUACAAGCAGUGGGAGCCUCUUAAUGGGGUGACUGCGUACCUUUUGUAUAAUGGGUCAGCGACUUAUAUUCUGUAGCAAGGUUAACCGAAUAGGGGAGCCGAAGGGAAACCGAGUCUUAACUGGGCGCUAAGUUGCAGGGUAUAGACCCGAAACCCGGUGAUCUAGCCAUGGGCAGGUUGAAGGUUGGGUAACACUAACUGGAGGACCGAACCGACUAAUGUUGAAAAAUUAGCGGAUGACUUGUGGCUGGGGGUGAAAGGCCAAUCAAACCGGGAGAUAGCUGGUUCUCCCCGAAAGCUAUUUAGGUAGCGCCUCGUGAAUUCAUCUCCGGGGGUAGAGCACUGUUUCGGCAAGGGGGUCAUCCCGACUUACCAACCCGAUGCAAACUGCGAAUACCGGAGAAUGUUAUCACGGGAGACACACGGCGGGUGCUAACGUCCGUCGUGAAGAGGGAAACAACCCAGACCGCCAGCUAAGGUCCCAAAGUCAUGGUUAAGUGGGAAACGAUGUGGGAAGGCCCAGACAGCCAGGAUGUUGGCUUAGAAGCAGCCAUCAUUUAAAGAAAGCGUAAUAGCUCACUGGUCGAGUCGGCCUGCGCGGAAGAUGUAACGGGGCUAAACCAUG
rnacentral:rRNA from 1 species